rnacentral:rRNA from 1 species
AUUGAACGCUGGCGGCAUGCCUUACACAUGCAAGUCGAACGGCAGCACGGGUGCUUGCACCUGGUGGCGAGUGGCGAACGGGUGAGUAAUACAUCGGAACGUACCCAGUUGUGGGGGAUAACUAACCGAAAGGUUAGCUAAUACCGCAUACGACCUGAGGGUGAAAGCGGGGGACCGUAAGGCCUCGCGCAAUUGGAGCGGCCGAUGUCUGAUUAGCUAGUUGGUGAGGUAAAGGCUCACCAAGGCGACGAUCAGUAGCAGGUCUGAGAGGAUGAUCUGCCACACUGGAACUGAGACACGGUCCAGACUCCUACGGGAGGCAGCAGUGGGGAAUUUUGGACAAUGGGGGAAACCCUGAUCCAGCCAUUCCGCGUGAGUGAAGAAGGCCUUCGGGUUGUAAAGCUCUUUCGGCAGGGAAGAAACGCUCUGGACUAAUACUCCGGGGUAAUGACGGUACCUGAAGAAGAAGCACCGGCUAACUACGUGCCAGCCGCCGCAGUAA